UCUGGUGACGAUAGCAUCGUGGUCACACCUGUUCCCAUCCCGAACACAGAAGUUAAGCACGAUUACGGUGACGAUAGCUACACCUGCUGUAGUGAAAAUAGCGAGUUGCCAGAU
rnacentral:rRNA from 1 species